rnacentral:lncRNA from 1 species
AACAAUUGUGUGACGUGCUCAUGCAGUUUAGACAUUAUCAUGCAUUUCUAGUUCUACGUACACAUGCUUAUGUGUGUACCAUUCAUUGUUGCAAGGGCGGGCAUUUCUAUUUAUACCUUCGACUGGUUUCAUUUUUUAGGUGAGUGUGUCAAUGAGCUAGUAGUUGUGUAGCCACCAACCAACCGUUGUGCUUAUUUACUUACUCUCCACCCUGUUAUUAUUCAUUAGUACUAGUGCAUUUACAAUGUUUAAUGUGUUUUUUUAAUCUAUGUUUAAUAUGUGAGAGAUUGGAGGAUACCAACGUGCUAGCGAGCAGGCUUCUUUUACAAUGGCGCAACCAGUCACACCUCUUUCUGUGACGCAAUAGAUGAGAGCCGACAUGAAGCUAUAGGAGCACUGCCAUCUUCAGUGGGGAGAACUUGCUUGAAAAAUGAGGGAAAANN